rnacentral:rRNA from 1 species
UACAGAGGUGGCAAGCGUUGUUCGGAAUUACUGGGCGUAAAGGGCGCGUAGGCGGCCUUCUAAGUCGAACGUGAAAUCCCCGGGCUCAACCCGGGAACUGCGUCCGAGACUGGAAGGCUCGAAUCCGGGAGAGGGAUGUGGAAUUCCAGGUGUAGCGGUGAAAUGCGUAGAUAUCUGGAGGAACACCGGUGGCGAAGGCGGCAUCCUGGACCGAGAUUGACGCUGAGGCGCGAAAGCCAGGGGAGCAAACGGG